UAGGGAAUCUUCCGCAAUGGACGCAAGUCUGACGGAGCAACGCCGCGUGAGUGAAGAAGGUUUUCGGAUCGUAAAACUCUGUUGUUAGAGAAGAACAAGUGCUAGAGUAACUGUUAGCGCCUUGACGGUAUCUAACCAGAAAGCCACGGCUAACUACGUGCCAGCAGCCGCGGUAAUACGUAGGUGGCAAGCGUUGUCCGGAUUUAUUGGGCGUAAAGCGAGCGCAGGCGGUUCCUUAAGUCUGAUGUGAAAGCCCCCGGCUCAACCGGGGAGGGUCAUUGGAAACUGGGGAACUUGAGUGCAGAAGAGGAGAGUGGAAUUCCAUGUGUAGCGGUGAAAUGCGUAGAUAUAUGGAGGAACACCAGUGGCGAAGGCGACUCUCUGGUCUGUAACUGACGCUGAGGCUCGAAAGCGUGGGUAGCAAACAGGAUUAGGUACCCUGGUAGUCCACGCCGUAAACGAUGAGUGCUAAGUGUUGGAGGGUUUCCGCCCUUCAGUGCUGCAGUUAACGCAUUAAGCACUCCGCCUGGGGAGUACGACCGCAAGGUUG
rnacentral:rRNA from 1 species